GGGGUUGUGGCUCAGUGGUAGUGGUAGAGCAUGCACCUAGCAUGUGUGAGGCCCUGGGUUCAAUCCUCAGCACCACA
rnacentral:tRNA from 1 species